rnacentral:misc_RNA from 1 species
GAAGCGGUAGAAGUCGGCCGUCGUGAUCGGGUCGAACUUGUGGUCGUGGCACUCGGCGCAACCCAUCGUCUGCCCCAGCCACACCGUCGAGGCGUUGCGGACCCGGUCGGCCGCGUACUUGGCCGUGUACUCCUUCGGCUGGGCGCCCCCCUCCUCGGUCGUUUGGAGCAG